rnacentral:tRNA from 1 species
CAUGGCUGAAUGGUUAAAGCGCCCAAUUUAUAAUUGGCAAAUUCGUAGGUUCAGACCCAUUG